CUGUUGGGAGUGGUUUCGUCUGCUCCCAAAUUUGGGUGCACAAGUGCUGGGUGUCUCAAGUGUGACCUGGCACCAUGGGGACCCGCCAUCCACCUGGGGGCGGCAGAGGGCAUCUUCUGUGCACCGACCUGCUGUGACUAGGACACCACUUGCCGAUGCCAGCAGAAAACAGGAGCCAAGGACAGCAAGGACCAGCUCAGAGUCUAGAGAUGACUGUUUGUCAAGAAUCUACUCAUCUGGGAUGUUUGUUUGAACUUGAUGAUUUCAGAAACAACCACUUGAGUUUUUCAAUAGAAAAGGAAGAAAAUCAAUACCCCGCCAAGGGGAACACAAUCUGCCUAAGAACAGGAUGCUGCCAGAGGGGUUGUGAUGAAUCAUGAAGAUGAAUGGAUGGUCCGCAACGAAAUCUUCCACUGGCCCCAGACUGCAGGUCCUGGAAACAAGUGCUGUGGCGGCUGCUGCCUCUGUGCCCUCCUCACUCACCUCCACAAAGGACUUGUGGAUAGUUUUUGAUACGAAAAUAUCUCUGGUUUCUGUCAUGCCAGACAGAUCAGCCUUGCUCCUGCUAAAGAGAUCUUCCACACCCAUGCGAGCCAGUACUUUCCAGCAUUUGGGAUAAUGAGAGAGUGAUGUGUUGCAAGUCAUCAAAGGCCCAAAUAAGAGGGUUUCAUCACAUCCAUCAAACAACCAUCCACCAGUCUCUCCAUCCACUCACCUGUCCAUUGAUAUAUGGCACGCCAUCCAUACACACACCCAACCUUACAUACCUACCCCCUCUCUACCUACUCGUCCAUGACUUAACAACAUCCUGCCAUACUGGAUCACUCUGAUGGACCCUGAAGGCUAUCAUUACCAUGAAGGUGAUAUUACAUGUUAGCUAAUUGGUUAGUGGUGUAAGGGAAAAAUAUAAAAGUUUUCUUCUACUUAUUCUGUUGUAUUUAUU